GACGAACGCUGGCGGCGUGCUUAACACAUGCAAGUCGAACGGUGAAGCCACCGGUUUUUGCUGGUUCUGGGUGAGUGGCGUACGUGAGAGUAACACGAGAUUAACCUGCCCCCGUCUUCUGGAUAACCGCAUGAAAGUGUUGCUAAUACGGGAUAUUCUGCGCCUGCUGCAUGGUGGGUGUGGGAAAGAGAUUGGUUCGGUGUGGGAGCGGCUCGCGGCCUGUCAGCUUGUUGGUGGGGUCAUGGCCUACCAAGGCGGUGACGGGUAGCCGGCCUGAGAGGGUGGACGGUCACACUGGGACUGCGACACCGCCGGGACUGCGACGGGGCGCAGCAGCGGGGGGUAGGGCACAGUGGGAGAAAGCCCGAUGCGGCGGCGCCGCGUGAGGGAUGAAGCCCUGCGGGUUGUAAACGUCUUUCGGUAGUAAAGCAUGUCUGUCACUUAUGUGGGUGGGUUGACGGUAGCUGGAGAAGAAGCGCCGGCUAACUACGUG
rnacentral:rRNA from 1 species